rnacentral:rRNA from 1 species
CCCUUAGACGUUCUGGGCCGCACGCGCGCUACACUGACCAGUGCAACAAGCAUCCGUCCUUGGCCGACAGGCCCGGGCAAUCUUUGAACGCUGGUCGUGAUGGGGAUAGACUUUUGCAAUUUUUGGUCUUCAACGAGGAAUUCCUAGUAAACGCAAGUCAUCAACUUGCAUUGAUUACGUCCCUGCCCUUUGUUCACACCGCCCGUCGCACCUACCGAUUGAAUGGUCCGGUGAAGCCUCCGGGUUGGCGCGCACCUCGGUGCCGCCGAGAAGUUGGCUAAACCUUACCAUUUAGAGGAAGGUGAAGUCGUAACA